UACGAAGGGGGCUAGCGUUGCUCGGAAUUACUGGGCGUAAAGGGAGCGUAGGCGGGUUAUCAAGUUGGAGGUGAAAGCCCAGGGCUCAACCUUGGAAUUGCCUUCAAAACUGAUAGCCUAGAGUAUGGAAGAGGUAAGUGGAACUCCGAGUGUAGAGGUGAAAUUCGUAGAUAUUCGGAAGAACACCAGUGGCGAAGGCGACUUACUGGUCCAUGACUGACGCUGAGGCGCGAAAGCGUGGGGAGCAAACGGG
rnacentral:rRNA from 1 species